GAUGAACGCUGGCGGCGUGCCUAAUACAUGCAAGUCGAGCGAACGGACGAGAAGCUUGCUUCUCUGAUGUUAGCGGCGGACGGGUGAGUAACACGUGGAUAACCUACCUAUAAGACUGGGAUAACUUCGGGAAACCGUAGCUAAUACCGGAUAAUAUUUUGAACCGCAUGGUUCAAAAGUGAAAGACGGUCUUGCUGUCACUUAUAGAUGGAUCCGCGCUGCAUUAGCUAGUUGGUAAGGUGACGGCUUACCAAGGCAACGAUGCAUAGCCGACCUGAGAGGGUGAUCGGCCACACUGGAACUGAGACACGGUCCAGACUCCUACGGGAGGCAGCAGUAGGGAAUAUUCCGCAAUGGGCGAAAGCCUGACGGAGCAACGCCGCGUGAGUGAUGAAGGUCUUCGGAUCGUAAAACUCUAUUAUUAGGGAAGAACAUAUGUGUAAGUAACUGUGCACAUCUUGACGGUACCUAAUCAGAAAGCCACGGCUAACUACGUG
rnacentral:rRNA from 1 species